UUAUAGCAACAGGUAUACAUAGCAAGAGGUAACUUGUUUUUCUACUAUUUGUAGUUUGCUGUGAUAUUUAUAGUUGUUCCUUUCUAUAAGCAGGAAAUGUAGCUGUUUUAUUUUGGAGCUAUUAUUUCAUCCCAAAUGGUUAGAGACUCAAGUCAUUUCCUUUUUGGGAAAUUCAACCUAAUUUGGGAAGUCAGUAGAGAAUGGUGACUAUGAUCUUGGACUUCAGAGUUAAACAGGUGACCUCUGAAUCUUACCAGGACUAGGAGUUGCAUGAAUUCGGCAAUGGCAUCAUUUCUACUAUUAUUCCAGGGAAAGUCCUUUUUCAGAAAUCAGUAAAUCAGUGGGUAUUUUUGGCCCUGCCUUCCUCCUGUGACAUCUGACUUGACAAAACCAAUCUUGAAUCCUGACUGCGGAUGAAAGAAGUUAACUCAUCUCCACGUAGGGCAGUGCAGAUGGACUCCACGAGAAAUUCUCUGAAAUGUCACAGUAAAGGUUGGCGAUGUGUCUGUGAAUCACUCUCGCUUCCUUUCGGGCCUUCCGGGUUUUAAAGGGUGGGCUGGGGGCGGCGAACGACUGCCACUGCCCGGGCAGCGACCUCACUGGGACAUCCAAGUUGAAUGCGUGGAGGUGAACCGCGCUCCUGAUGCCCGCGGCUCUCUCACUCGGCUCCAUUCAGAUCAGAUGGGGGGGGGGG